rnacentral:rRNA from 1 species
AACGAACGCUGGCGGCAUGCCUAACACAUGCAAGUCGAACGAGACCUUCGGGUCUAGUGGCGCACGGGUGCGUAACGCGUGGGAAUCUGCCCUUGGGUUCGGAAUAACAGUUAGAAAUGACUGCUAAUACCGGAUGAUGUCUUCGGACCAAAGAUUUAUCGCCCAGGGAUGAGCCCGCGUAGGAUUAGCUAGUUGGUGAGGUAAAGGCUCACCAAGGCGACGAUCCUUAGCUGGUCUGAGAGGAUGAUCAGCCACACUGGGACUGAGGCACGGCCCAGACUCCUACGGGAGGCAGCAGUGGGGAAUAUUGGACAAUGGGCGAAAGCUUGAUCCAGCAAUGCCGCGUAAGUGAUGAAGGCCUUAGGGUUGUAAAGCUCUUUUGCCCGGGAUGAUAAUGACAGUACCGGGAGAAUAAGCCCCGGCUAACUCCGUGCCAGCCGCCGCAGUAACAC